AGAAUCAACGCUGGCGGCGUGCCUAACACAUGCAAGUCGAACGCGAAAGGGACUUCGGUCCUAAGUAGAGUGGCGAACGGGUGAGUAACACGUGGGUGACCUACCUUCGAAUGGGGGAUAACGUCCCGAAAGGGACGCUAAUACCGCAUAACAUCCUGUCCUUGAACGGAUGGUGAUCAAAGCCGGGGAUCGCAAGACCUGGCGUUUGAAGAGGGGCCCGCGUCCGAUUAGCUAGUUGGUGAGGUAAUGGCUCACCAAGGCGACGAUC
rnacentral:rRNA from 1 species